UACGGAGGGUGCUAGCGUUGUUCGGAAUUACUGGGCGUAAAGCGCGUGUAGGCGGGUCCUUAAGUCGGGGGUGAAAGCCCGGGGCUCAACCUCGGAACGGCCUUCGAUACUGAGGACCUGGAGUCUGGGAGAGGUGAGCGGAAUUCCGAGUGUAGAGGUGAAAUUCGUAGAUAUUCGGAGGAACACCAGAGGCGAAGGCGGCUCACUGGACCAGUACUGACGCUGAGACGCGAAAGCGUGGGGAGCAAACAGG
rnacentral:rRNA from 1 species